UUACUGUUCUCAGAAGUUAGGAAAAGGAAAGUCAAUAGUUCUUAUGUUGGGUAAAAAAGAUUCCACCAGUUUUGUUGAGAAUUCAGCUCUCGUCUCUUUUGAUACUACUUACCAGCCAACAGAGGAUGAAAGGAAAAUCUUGGGUCUGGUGUGACAAUUGUAACAUACAUCGUCAUACUUGUGAACCUCUUUGAAAAUUCGUGGAAAACCCACAAACUUCAACCUUUGCUAAUGAGGUCAAGACAAUCCCAGUUAGUAAGGAACAGGUGGAUCAUUUUCUUGAAUUGCUAAAGUCCAACUCUGUAUCUAGUGAUCCUGGUAGUUCCCUAGCUCAAAGAGGUAGAAUUUUCAACGCUUUUCCUAGCUGUCUAUCUUCUACACCAGGGAGUAUUGGUUCUGGUGCAUCUGAUCAUUUGACUGGUCUUUCGCAUCUAUUUACACAUGUUGAUUGAUUGAUUCUAAUUGACAGUGUACGACAGAUUCUUAGAAAUUAUGUAAUUACUGAUUUUUAGGAAUCACAGUAUUAUUAGUUUCCUUUUCUUAGUUUAUGUGUAUAAAUUCUUUGUAUUUUUUCACAAUUGAUAUAUGAGAAAAUAAGAAAUUCUUCUCCCAUUCUUUUGUUGCUCAUUUUCUUUGAUUUAACAUGGUGUCAAGCUAAAAUUCUAGAUUUGAGAGGAAUUUUUUCUCAAUUUUUUUCGAAAUCCCACAAAUCUAGAAAUUUCUUUUGGUACUCACUCCCUUAACCCCAUUUUUUUUCUCACCACCCACACCAGAAGGAUCGCUACCUCUUCGUUGGCGUAACCUCCAACUUCGGUGAUUCAUGCGCCCUCAACAGUUUCGGGAGUUUUCCUCAUAAGCCUGCGCGUGAUGCACACCCCAUUGGAGUUUUUUCCUUGCUAUUCUUAAUUGGGAGGCGCAAUAAGGCUUCUAGUUCGGAGAAUCUUUCUUCAGAUUAGUCUCAUAAAGGUUGAUGCUAAUAAUUAUCUUGCAUGGUCAAGCUCGUGUUUGGCUUUCAUCAAAGCUAGAAGCUUGCAGGGAUAUGUUAUUAGAACGGCUAAAAAACCCACAGAAAGUGAUUUCGCCUUUGACUAGUGGGACUCGGAGAAUUCACUUGUUUGGUCUUGGUUUAUUAAUGCCAUGGAGCCACAUAUUUCAAAAGAUCUACCGACUACUUGACACUGCAACAAAGAUAUGGGAG
rnacentral:lncRNA from 1 species